CAUCUUGAAAUUGAAAUCAGUAUAAACCGUGCAUAAAUUGCUUUUGAAAUGUCAUGUUCACCAAUUAAGACCAGCUUUUACAAGGUCCAGUCUGCAUUGAGCUAAUUGCAUGACCCAAAUUUGAGGCCACACCCUAAGGCACACCGACAUUUUUUGAAAAGGAGACACCAUAUCUGGGAGGUCUUUUUGAAAACUCUGAGGAACAAAGACAACGCCUGAAAAUAGGUUCGAGGAUGAGUAACAAAAUCUAAGGUAAUGCCCUAUUGUUAUGUUUCGUACUCUUGG